CCUACGGGAGGCAGCAGUGGGGAAUAUUGGGCAAUGUGUGCAAGCCUGACCCAGCCACGCCGCUUGAAGGAAUAAAGCCUUCGGGAUGCAAACUUCUUGUCUCAGGGACGAAGAAAGUGACGGUACCUGAGGAAUAAGCCACGGUUAACUACGUGCCAGCAGCCGUGGUAAUACGUAGGUGGCAAGCGUUAUCCGGAUUUAUUGGGUGUAAAGGGCGAGUAGGCGGGAGCGCAAGUCAGAUGUGAAAACUCAGGGCUCAACCCUUAGCCUGGAUUUGAAACUGUGUUUCUUGAGUGCUGGAGAGGCAAGCGGAAUUCGUGGUGUAGCGGUGAAAUGCGUAGAUAUACGGAGGAACACCAGUGGCGAAGGCGGAUUGCUGGACAGUAACUGACGCUGAGGCGCGAAAGCGUGGGGAUCAAACAGGAUUAGAUACCCCUGUAGUC
rnacentral:rRNA from 1 species